UUUUUUUUUUUUUUUUUGCUUUUUGCUUUUUAGGGCUGCACCUGAGGCAUAUGGAGGUUACCAGGCUAGGGGUCCAAUUGGAGCUGCAGCUGCCUGCCUAUACCACAGCCACAGCAACAUCAGAUCCAAGCCCUGUCUGGGACCUACACCACAGCUCAUGGAAAUGCCGAAUCCUUAACGCACUGAACGAGGCCAGGGAUGGAACCUACAACCUCAUGGUUCCUAGUUGGAUUCAUUUCUACUGAGCCAUGUCAGGUACUCCCAUUUUAUUCUUAUUACGAAAAGAAAAUUCCUUUUACCUCUCUUAUGUUUCUUCCUCAAAUACUGUCAACAGUGUUAUUCACUGUGAAAUGAAAUAACCAGAAGCCAGGGGGAUCUUCCAAUUGAAAUACUGCACUGAAUAUUUAUCCUCUACCUAUUGUUUUUAAAAAUGAACUAUAGCAAGUAUCAAAGCAGUAGAGAUAAUAGCACAGAUGGUCAAAAAUAUUAGAAAACUGUACAAAAGAGUCUAUAAAUCAUACAAGAAAGAUCAAAUUGCUAAAAUGUGUCAUAUAUUUUCCCAAAAGAUUAUAUAUUUAAGAAAAAGUGUCUUGCAACGGAACUGAGAAAGAAGGAGGCUACAUUUAAUGUUACAGCAUUUAGAAAUUAUUCAAAAAAUGGUUGGAAAUAGCACUGAGAGCAGAAUGCUCAAAGAAUAGGAUAAGAGAGAAGAAAACAUUGCUAUAUCCUUCUGCCUUGUCUAUUCCCCUUACUUCUUCCUGUAAUGACUUUAAUCCAAGUAUUUCUUACGAGUCUGCCUUGUCCACACUCCUCUUCACUUGAUCUUAGUGCUUAGACUUUUUUUUUUUUGGCAAAAACUACGCCAAAAUAUGCUACUGAGUUUAGCAGCCAAAACCCUGAUGUUUACUUUGGUAAAUGUAGAUUACUCUGAAGCUGUACCUUAUUUUAUGCAGUAGAUUUCUGAAAAAGUUACAUGUAAUUUCCAUAAAUAAAGUAUUUUAAGGGAAAAGGUGGGUUAUUUCCUUCUUCAAUGAAUUUUUUAAUAAAGUGAAGAAUUCUCUGGUAAGGCAAAUAAUCAUUCUUCAAAUAAUAUCACAGCGCCCCUCCCCAAAUCAGAUUUGCCAGAGAUGAGUUCUACUACUAUAAUAUGAUGGACAGUCUGAGUAAGGUCUCACUACAAAGAUAAUUUAGAAGAAUUUCUUGGUCAGGCAUUCACUAUUCUAAUUAUUGCUAGUCACCUUAUUUUACGUGGUCCGAGACCAAAAGGUCAUGGUAUGAUUUUGACAAUCUAUGCAUAAUUUACACGUUAGGGUCUGGUUCAGAAUAGGACUAUAACUUUAUGAAGUCACCUUUGAAUAUGAAAUAUCAUUUUUUAAUAAAUUUGUUUCAGGGGGAAAAACUAGCAUACGCUCCUACCCUCUUACUUAUACCUCCCUCCCCUACAACAAAAGAAUUUUUUUUUUAAAGAAAAGGUAAUGAAUAAAUGCUAUGUUUCCCAUGAUAAAGGGGAAAAAAAGCCUAGAAAGAUAUGAAACACACUAAUAUUAACAGGAUAACAUACCUAUGAUACUUUCAAAAUGACAAGGCUUGAUUUUAAAAAUUGAUCUUUAACAAGAAAAAGAAAUAUGGGCAAUUAGGAAGUAAUGAAGACCCUGUCAAUAUAGCUAUGUUGAUAAUAACAGGUAAGGGAAUUCUUGAGAAAAUCUAAUAUAUAAAAAUCAGGAGGUCUGUAAUAUGCAUUAUUGAGUCCCAGUGGGAUUAACUAAUGAAUUUAUAAGCUCACCAGCAGUUAUUUUUAGAAAGUUAUAAAGAAUUAGAGAAAUAUUAGAGCAUGGAAAAAUAAUGUGCCUUCUAAAAAGAAAGAAAAUAUAUAUUACUACUAAAAUUCAUUUUAAAAUGAAUUCUAGAGGUUCUAAGGAGAAUAUCAUUAAAAAUAUAUAAAAAUUUAUCAGUAUUUGAACAGAGAAGGGCUUCUAAUGGAGACACUCUAAGUUAGAAGGUACAGGUGAGACUCAGCUACACUGAGUGUAGCUAUACUCAGCUACUCUCUGAAGUAGGGUAGGGUGUUUGUUGAGGGAAAUGCCAAAAGCAGCUCAGUAAACAUGCUGCAUGGUCUGGUUAAAUUACUUGUGUUAAGAUACAGGUAAGUCUCUCUCCACUGCUAACACUGUGCAUACUCUUAAAGCUGAGACUGAGUUGAGACCCUAAAGGCAAGUUGUCAAGCUUGACCAGAGAUAAGAGGCUGAAAAAAAGACAAAAAAUUAGUGGUUGAAACAUUUGUAGCCCCUGGGGAAGACUGUCCUUUCCUCCAGCUUUGUUUUUGUAUUUCUCAUCUAUGGAAGAGGAGUUGAGGAGUGGUCUGGGAAUGGACAGCUUAAGAACCAAGGCGAAAACGUUGAGAAGUAAACCAGUCUUAGGCAGAGUAGAGAACCUGUAGGAGCUGUGGGUCUCUGACAUCAAACCUGGCAGACCUCUCCAAAGAAACUUCUCCUAACCAAUAAAAAAAUGGAUGCAUUUUAUUGCUUCCAGUUGCCUAUCAAACCCAGAUAGCUGGUGUAGAAGUGCUUUCUUUGGUUUUAAUUCUUGUCUCACCUACUCCUCUUAGCAUUGCCGUUAAGGCCUGGCCUCCAGGGAUACAUGUUUCCCUUUAAAAUUUGAACCCAGGUAUGGGCAAAAUUUCUCUUUUUCUAGUUUUCUAGUUUCUUUGUCAUUUUCACAAGUAACUUUACAGAAAGAUGGUAAGAGCAAAGAAAUCUAAACAAGAAAUGCAGAGUCGGAGUUCCCGUCGUGGCGCAUUGUGGAUUCUAUUCUAAAGGAUAUAUUUUGUGGGUGGUUUUUCCAGAGGUCGUGUGAGUGAGUAAUUUAUACAUUCACACAUGUAUUCAUUGUGUGCCAGGGACUAUUUCUUUGGGCUGGGGAUGCAGUGGUGAGCAAGAUACAUAAAGACUCUCCUCUUGUAGCAUACAUGUGGGUGAGGAUGGCAGGCAAUCAACAGGUAAAACAAUCGACAUGAUAAUUUCAGAGUCAGAUGCACUGUGAAGAAAACACAAAAGGGGGACGUGAAGAGAAAGAGAAGGAGAGGUGGUCAUCAAUUUUGCCCAGAUGGAGAAGACUUAUGACCUGAGACCAGAAGGGAAUGGAGCCAGGAGAGUGCCACAGGCAGAGUUCUGGAAGAACAGGGGCAGGGAGGGGCUCUGAGGAGGAAAAUGCUGGUCACAGGGAACCAGCUCAUUGGGACCAGCUCAUUGGUCAAAGCUGGAUGCCUGGAGUAUGGUGGCUGAGGGAGAAAGUGGUAGAAGAUGAUUCAGAGAGGUGGGCAGCCUCACUACGUGAGGUCUCUCAAGCUAGAGUGAAACAUUUUAAUUUUAUUCCAAGUACAAUGGAAGAGCUGUCUGCAGAGUUUUUGCAGAGGAGAAAUAUAAUUUGACUGCAUAUAAAAAAGAGUACACUGGUUGGAAAAUGGAGAAUGGAUUAUGGAGAGUUGGAUGAUGGAUUUAACCCUUCCUGAUUGCAUUUAUCAAUUCCUCCCACCUCUAGAUCAUUCUCUGGGGCUCAUUCUUCUCCUGCGCACUUCAGAGUAUAAAACCCACCUACUGCUAGUUCACAUAAAUAAAGUGAGUAAUAGUAGGAUGUAAUAUUAAUAUGCAGUAGGAACUGAAAGACAGCCUAAUGAAAUAAUAUUUCAGAGUAGUGGAGAAAAAAAAUGGAGUUGAACUAGAAAUAGCAUUCUCCUAACAAUUCUGCUUUUGGUAUAUAUGCUGAUACCUCUGGUUUCUUGGCCCUUUGGACUAUGGGAAGGUACUCUGCUGUCACAGUGUUCCAUUUCUGCAAGGCAGAAAGUAACUGGUGGACUUACUAGCCAGGCAGGUGUUUCUACUUUCUUCAUUUCCUUGAAUAGACACAACAUUCUCUCAGUUACUUUAGCUCAAAACUGCUAGGUCAUCUUUGAUUUUGUGGCCUCCUGAUCCCAUCACUUACCAAAUCCUGACAAUUACACCUCAGCAAAGUUUUUCCAAUCUCUUUUUUUCCCCCAUUCCAUUCCCCUGUUACCACCUUUUACUUUAUUUAUUGACCUGUCAUUUAGAAUCCAGAAACUGCCUGCUAACUCAUUUCACUGCCUUCAACCUCUUUUCUAUCCUGUACUUUGCUACCAGAUGAAAAAUUCUAAAGUAUCAUUUGUGUCAUAGACCUCUUUCUAGAUAAGCAUAUCCAAUGGUCUCCAUUAUCUAUCAAAUUAAGUAGAAAUUCCUUCAUGUGGUUUAAAGCCCUUCAUUCCUUGGAUCCAGCCUUCUUUUCUGGGUAAUCUGUCAACUGUUCUUCUGUAAGUAUUCCCUAUUUUCCUAGACCCAGGUCAAUUGACAAUUUUUAAACCUUUUCAAAAUCUCAGGGACUGGACAUCUGUGAUCCUGAGGUCCAGCCAGAGAAGAGGUUGAUCACUACUGCAAAGUUUUUGAAGGCAGGGGUCAAACUUAACUCAUCAAUACAGAUGGAUAAACGUACCCUAUGUUGAACUGCAUGCUAGCUUUCAGAGUGAAGAAAUAAAUUCCUCUAACAAUUAUAAUUUUCCAGACAACAAAUUAAUACCACACACACACAGACACACACAAAUAAAUUCCUCUCAAAUUGGAAUAUCAUGACAGUUAGAUACUUUAUAAGUAAAACUGAAGGAAGUAGAGUCUUCUCCUUGCCCUCUCCAACAAACUGAUGAGGUAGACUCAGGUGAUCCACUAUCCAUGAGCAACUAGUUGAUAAGCACUGACAAAUAACUCAAAGUAUUUUCCAGAUCUCUUUGGCUAAAAUGCAGUGCUUAUCUAACACAUACAAUAUACUAGCAUCAGAAGAUAUUAAGUAAAGUUUAAGAACUGAAAACUCUGAGAGUCAAACUUUAACUGUUCAAGAGCUUAUAUUCCCAAGAUGUGGUUGGCUUGGUUCAAGUUUAGAUGCAGAUAGAAACAUAUCAAAUAUAAGAUAGUAAAGAGAUGGAAAGGACCCAAGAUAAAAUUUCAUCCAACAGUUUCAUUUCACAAGUGAGAAAUCUAAAGUCCAGAGCAGCUGUGAUGGGCCACAGAUACACAGACAUUUUGCUUAAAUAUAGUUAAUAUUUAGAAAUUGAUUAAGCAUUAUAAGAGUAAAAUUUUCAGAAGAUAUACAUCUAAUUGCUUUAAGAUCCAGUUCAAUAUUUACUUCCUCUAAUAAGCCUUCUUUGAUUAACCUCAGCCCAUAGGUUAAAACAACUACUCCCUGUCUUCACGUUUCAGUGUUUUGUAUAUAGUGUAUACUAUAUUAUUAUAUACUUGAUGGAAAACAUCUUGGUUUAUCCCUAAAUAAUUUGAGGGUAAUGCCUCAAAAUUUUUAUUCCUGAAAGUCACAGCUGAGGCUUAAUAAAUGUUUGCUAUAAGAAAACCUGUCCAGGACAGAAACCACCAGAAAAAUGAUGCUUAUUAAGUGCUAUUACAAUAUAAUAAAGCAUAGAUUCGUAGAUUUUUCUAUGAUUUUUACACUAUUUUGAUGAUAGUCUUCAUUUUGAUAUUAAGAAAAAUGAAGCAUACAGACGAUCACGGCAGUAAAAACUAGUGAAUUUACAAAGCUAAGUGCUACUGGUGUGGAAUACAUAGGUGAAUCAUUGUAUAAAACUUUAUAUACAUAGCAUCAUUUUUAUUGCUGUAUCAGACCUUUGCUGAGCAGCCAAUAGAAGCAGUAAGUGGAGGAUGGAUGAGGUGAUAAGCAGCCAUUAUGGAUUGCCCCAAUCACUUAAUGAUUUGGAAAUGUACUAACGCCUAUAUAGGCCAGUUUGGGGAGAACUAAUGUUUACAAUGCUGAGUCUUGCAAAUUAAUGAAUGUGAUGUAUCUUGCCACUUCUUUAAUGCCUCUCAAUGAAAUUUUAUCACUUUUUCUAUAGAGGAUUUGUACUUCAUUUUUAGAUUCAUUCGUUCAUUUAUAAUUACAUUUUUUAUUUUGAGAUAAUUAUAGAUUCAGUUGAAAGAAAUAACACAAAUGGAUCCUGUGUCCCUUUCAUAAUUUUCCUCAACAGGAACACCUUGUAAGACCAUAUGACAAUCAAGAUGUUAACAUGAUACAGUUAAGAUGCACAGCAUUUCCAUCACCACAAAGAUCACUCAUGUUUCCCUAUAGCCACAUCCACUUCUCUUCCAUCCCCUCCUUAACCCCUAGCAGCCACUAAUCUGUUCUUCAUUUCUGAAAUUUUGGCAUUCUAAGCAUGUUAUAUAAAUGGAAUCAUACAAAUAUGUAACCUCAUGGGAUUGGCUUUUUUCUUUUUUUGGCUGCACCCACAGCAUAUGCAAACUCCCAGGCCAGGGAAUGAAUCUGAGCCAUAGCUAUGGCAACACUGAAUCCUUAACCCACUGUGUUGGGACAGGGAUUCAACCUGUGCCUUGGCAGUGAUUUGAACCACUGCAGUUGUGCCACUGUGCCACAGGGGUAACUCUGGGAUUGGCUUUUGAAAUUCAGCUUAAUUUUCUGGAGAUUUGUCCAGGUUGUUGUGUAAGUCAAUAAUUAGUUCCUUUUUAUUGCUGAGUAGCAUUCCAUGAUAUGGAUGUACCACAGUUUGUUUAACCAUUCCUGUCUCAAAGGAUAUCUGGGUUGUUUUCAGUUUUUUGGCUAUUAUAAAUAAAGCUGCUGUAAACAUUCAUGUAUAAAUUUUUAUGUGAAAUAAUUUUUAUUUUUCUGGGAUAAAUGUCCAAGAGUGCAGUUGCUGGGCUCUAUGUUACUUGCAUGUUUUGUUUUACAAGAAACUGCCACACUGUUUGUCAGAGUCAUAUCCUUCCAGCAAUGUGUGAGUGAUCUAGUUUCUCUGUAUCUCUUCCAGUAAUUUUUUUUAAAUUUUUAUUUAAUGGCCUUGCCUGUGGCAUUUGGAAAUUCGCGGGCCAGGGACUGAAUCUGAGCCACUGCUGUGACCUACCACACAUGCGGGCAAUGCCAGCUCCUUUAACUCACUGUGCCAGGCCAGGGAUUGAACUCCAGCCUCUGCAGCGACCUGUCAGAUUCUUAACCCCACUGAGCCACAGCUGGAACUCCCAGCCAGUAAUGUAUUAAAAUAGGAUAGACUGAUUCCUCUUACUUUAUUCUUUUUUCAAAAUUGUUUUAAGUAUUUUAGUUCUUUUAACUUUUAUAUAAAUUUUAGAAUAAACUUGUCGAUAUCUAUUGUACAGUAACAAAUUGACCUUGCCCUGAAAGGUUUCAGCUGGAACUCUGGAGUAUCUGGAGAUUAAAGUUAGCCAUGCAGGAGUUCUUGUUGUGGCUCAGUGGGUUAAGAAUCCAAUAUAGUGUCUGUGAGGAUGUGGGUUUGAUCCCUGGCCUCGCUCAGUGCUUUAAGGAUCCUGCAUUGCCAUGAGCUAUGGUGGAGGUUACAGAUGUUGCUUGGAUCCUGCGUUGCUGUGGCCGUUGUGUAGGCUGGCAGCUACAGCUCUGAUUCAGCCACUAGCCUGGGAACUUCCAUAUGCUAAGGGUGUGGCUCUAAAAACGAAAAAAGGUUCAGGUGAAUUUCCCCAGUUUGCACUAUAGUGUGUGUAUUCUCAUCCAAUGUUGCUGGGAGAAGACAGCACUGUGCAUUACUUGACUGGAAGUGAACAACUGGAAAUUCAUCCUUGGAACCUUCCUGGACUCUGCCCUAUGUACGUUUCCUUGCUGAUUUUAGACUAUAUCCUUUUGCUGUACUAGACUGUCACCAUGAACAUAAUAGCUUUCAGGAAGUUCUGAGUCCUUCUGGCAAAUGAUCGCACCUAGAGAUGAUCUUAGGGACACCUGCUUGUGGUAGGUAUGAGAAGUGAGGGUGGUCUUGGAGACUUCAGAAGGUUAUAUCUACAAAAAACCUUGCUGGAAUUUUGACAGAAAUUUUGUUAAAUUUGUAUGUCAACUGGGGAGAAAUGGCAUCUUUACUAUAUUCAGUGAGUAAAUCUAUGAAUAUGACAUGUUUGUUAAUGCUACUAUAAAUGGGUAUUUAACUGCCUGUUGUUGGUAUACAGAAAUGCAACUGACUUCUGUAUAACAAUUUUGUAUCCAGCAACCUUGCUAAAUUGUCCUUGUCCUCCUAAGAAUUUAUCUGUAGAUUUUGAAUUUUCUACAUAAAUGAUUAUAUCACACGUGAAUAAUUUCAGGUUUUUUCUUUUCUAAUUCUUAUAGCUUUUAUUUCUUCCAGUCAUAAAUUUUAGAAAACUUUGAACUAUAAACAACACAGCUGCAAAUGUAACUAAUGAGAUGAAUAAAAUAUAAAGCAAAUUAUUAUGAAUAACAUGAAUAUGGCAUAAGAUUACUACAUUUUCUAUUUUGAUUGAUUUCUUGAUGAUGCACUUAAAAAAAAAAAAGACAGUGAAAAAAGAAAAAGUUUUGUCAGGUAAUGUCAUCUAGUUGCUGACUGCUGGUCAUGAAAGCUCCCUGUCAUUUUAUGACAGAUACUGACAGCUUCUGGAGGAUCACUUUGCUCCUAAUACUGUGACUUCUUUUCAUUCUAGUUAAGGUAAUGUAGAAACAGACUAUUUUUGUUACAUUCAGUCUAGAGUUACCCUCACCUGUCUGGUACUACUUAAAUUUCAUUCCCAGUACGCUCCCCCAAGGCAUUUCCUCUCUGAAUGUCCUUUUCUUUAAAAAAAAAAAGAUCCCAUAAUGCAACUGCCGUCUACAUAGGAAGAAUCCUUAAAGGAUUCUGAACGUCUUUCUAUAACACCAUUAAUACAUAUAGAAUAACAUCUUUCAUUAAGAUAAUAAUGAACUGAUUUUAAAUUAAAUACAUAUAUUCUCAAAUAUGUCAUGUAAACAUAGUAAAUGCCUACUAUUUACUAAUUUAGAAAAUGUCAUGGGAACAUAUUAGAUAGGACUGAUUACUUAGGUACCGGAUAAUAUUUUAGAGUAUUAGCUUAAUUCAUGAGCACUUAAAUUAAGUUUAACUAUGGACUGAUUUAUGAUAACAUAGAAUAUAAACAGAUAUGACUAAACAAUUACCAGAAAAGUUUAUGAAAAUUAUUUACAAUUAUAAUCCUUACUGCAUCUAUACUAAAUUUUAUUCUAAAAAGACUUUUUUGGGGGGUCUUUUUAGGGCUGCACCCACAGCAUAUGGAGGUUCCCAGGAUAGGGGUCUAAUCAGAUCUGUAGCUGCCGGCCUAUGCCACAGCCACAGAAACGCCAUAUCUGAGCCGCAUUUGUGACCUUCACCACAACUGGUGGUAACACCCGAUCCUUGAGCUGCUGAGCAGGGCUAGGGAUCAAACUCGCAACCUCAUGAUUCCUAGUUGGAUUCAUUUCCGCUGCACCAUGAUGGGAACUCCUAAAAAGACACUUCAAAACUCUAACUGGACUUUCCACAUAGGCUUUUCUGUAACUGUCCAGAAGAUUCAUAGGCAGAAAUAUUUCACGAUUGCUCAAGGAAUUAAAAUUUCCUUUCUAGGAGUUUCCCAUUGUGGCUCAUUGGGUCAUGAAUCCAUGAGGAUGUGGGUGUGAUCCCUGGCCUCCCUCACUGGGUUAAGGGAUGUGGCAUUGCUGUGAGCUGUGGUGCAGGCUACAGAUGAGGCUGGGAUCUUGUAUUGCUGUGGUUGUGGUAUAGGCUGGCAGCUGCAGCUCCAGCUUGACCCCUAGCCUGGGAACUUCCAUAUGCCACAGGAGCAACCAUUAAAAAAAAAAAAAAAAAAAAAAAA
rnacentral:lncRNA from 1 species